rnacentral:rRNA from 1 species
AUUGAACGCUGGCGGCAGGCUUUACACAUGCAAGUCGAACGUGCGGCGGACGGGUGAGUAAUGCUUGGGAAUCUAGCUUAUGGAGGGGGAUAACUACGGGAAACUGUAGCUAAUACCGCGUACCAUAGGAUGAGCCCACGUGGGAUUAGGUAGUUGGUGAGGUAAAGGCUCACCAAGCCGACGAUCUCUCGCUGGUCUGAGAGGAUGACCAGCAACACUGGGACUGAGACAAGGACCAGAGUCCUACGGAGGGCAGCAGUGGGGAAUAUUGCGCAAUGGGGGCAACCUGACGCAGCCAUGCCGCGUGAAUGAAGAAGGCCUUCGGGUUGUAAAGUACUUUCGGUAGCGAGGCGUUAACUACAGAAGGAGGACCGGCUAACUCCGUGCCAGCAGCCGCGGUAAUUC